AUUGAACGCUGGCGGCAUGCCUUACACAUGCAAGUCGAACGGUAACAGGUCUUCGGAUGCUGACGAGUGGCGAACGGGUGAGUAAUACAUCGGAACGUGCCUAGUAGUGGGGGAUAACUACUCGAAAGAGUGGCUAAUACCGCAUGAGAUCUACGGAUGAAAGCAGGGGAUCGCAAGACCUUGUGCUACUAGAGCGGCCGAUGGCAGGUUAGGUAGUUGGUGGGAUAAAAGCUUACCAAGCCGACGAUCGGUAGCUGGUCUGAGAGGACGAUCGGCCACACUGGGACUGAGACACGGCCCAGACUCCUACGGGAGGCAGCAGUGGGGAAUUUUGGACAAUGGGCGAAAGCCUGAUCCAGCAAUGCCGCGUGCAGGAUGAAGGCCUUCGGGUUGUAAACUGCUUUUGUACGGAACGAAAAGCCCCGGGUUAAUACCCUGGGGUCAUGACGGUACCGUAAGAAUAAGCACCGGCUAACUACGUGCCAGCCGCCGCCGUAA
rnacentral:rRNA from 1 species